GACGAACGCUGGCGGCGUGCCUAAUACAUGCAAGUCGAACGCAGUUGCGAACGGGUGAGUAACGCGUAGGUAACUUCCUCAUAGCGGGGGAUAACUAUUGGAAACGAUAGCUAAUACCGCAUACUGUGAGAUGGACCUGCGUUGUGUUAGCUAGUUGGUGAGGUAAAGGUUCACCAAGGCGACGAUACAUACCCGACCUGAGAGGGAUAUCGGCCACACCUGGAAUGAGACACGGCCCAGACUCCCACGGGAGGCAGGAGUUGGGGAUCAUCGGAAAUGGACGGAAGUCUGACCGAGCAAAGGCGGGUGAGUGAAGAAGGUUUUCGGGUUGUAAAGCUCUGUUGAGAGAGGAGCGGUAACUAAACAGAAAGGGACGGCUAACUACGUGCCAGCCGCCGCGGUAAUUC
rnacentral:rRNA from 1 species